UACGUAGGUGGCGAGCGUUGUCCGGAUUUACUGGGCGUAAAGGGAGCGUAGGCGGACUUUAAGUGAGAUGUGAAAUACCCGGGCUCAACUUGGGUGCUGCAUUUCAAACUGGAAGUCUAGAGUGCAGGAGAGGAGAAUGGAAUUCCUAGUGUAGCGGUGAAAUGCGUAGAGAUUAGGAAGAACACCGGUGGCGAAGGCGAUUCUCUGGACUGUAACUGACGCUGAGGCUCGAAAGCGUGGGGAGCAAACAGGAUUAGAUACCCUGGUA
rnacentral:rRNA from 1 species